rnacentral:rRNA from 1 species
GAUGAACGCUGGCGGCGUGCUUAACACAUGCAAGUCGAACGAGAAGUGAAGACGGAAACCUUCGGGCGGAAGGCUUUAUUUCGAGUGGCGGACGGGUGAGUAACGCGUGGGUAACCUGCCUCAUACAGGGGGAUAACAGUUGGAAACGACUGUUAAUACCGCAUAAGACCACAGCACCGCAUGGUGCGGUGGUAAAAACUCCGGUGGUAUGAGAUGGACCCGCGUUCGAUUAGCCAGUUGGCGGGGUAACGGCCCACCAAAGCGACGAUCGAUAGCCGAUCUGAGAGGAUGGCCGGCCACAGUGGGACUGAGACACGGCCCAAACUCCUACGGGAGGCAGCAGUGGGGAAUAUUGCACAAUGGGGGAAACCCUGAUGCAGCGACGCCGCGUGAGUGAAGAAGUAUUUCGGGAUGUAAAGCUCUAUCAGCAGGGAAGAAAAUGACGGUACCUGAGUAAGAAGCCCCGGCUAACUACGUG